ACUGGCCACUUUAUAACAUACUAAAUCUUAACUUAAAGGUGAACCACCCAUUUUAAUAGUUGUUCCUUGCAUCUGCCAGUCUUAUUUUCCUUCAGUUCUUUAUGUCCCUUAUCUUUUAUUUCAUCGUGUUUAAGGAAUCUUUUCCUUUUCAGUUUCACAGCAACUUGCAGGUGGUUAACUUGCAGAGCAGCCACAAUGUCAAUGAGUAAGUGUUCUAUGUGUGCAUUUGGUGUCUCCUUCAACACCUAGGUCCAAAAAUCAUUUAGGGGCAAACUUUCGAAAAUUCUAAUGUCUGUGAGGUAAUAAGAAAAAAAAAUGUAAAAAUUCGGUUUUUUUAUCCGGUUUUUGAGGCAUAAAUUCGAUCGAUUUGAGUUUUUUCGGGACAUGAACUCGAUCGUUACGUUUUUUUUUCCCUGUCAUUUUUCAUGCACGUUUUUGACAUUUCGAUACUGUAUUUCCAUAGACACGCAAACGUUUGAAAUUCGAGUUUACCCGAGGUUCAAAAACCCUCACAUAACUCACAAAUUAGAUUCUUGAUAAAUAUGCCCCCUAAAGUGCUUCACCUUCACUUUCCCUUCCUCCCAGUGUCCUUCCUUAGUUUUCCAUUCACUUUCCAGCCACAGUUCAUUUCCAGCUGUCUUCUUUUUCUGUAGACGUCCAGACACCAUGAAACAGAAAAAUGCCUUUUCUGCCAAAUUUCAUCCAUUCGUUGGACUCCACACACAUGAUGCUUACUGCAUUGAUACUGCAUGAUGCUUACUGCAUUGAUACUGCAUGAUGCUUACUGCAUUGCACUGUUACAGUCUCUGCUUCUGGACCCACCCAGACACUGUUGAUGUCAUGAACAAGGUUUGUCGGGAGCAGUUUGUUGCCCUGCACAGUCAGCCAAUCUUACAACACCUCUAUCACAGUUCUUAUUGCAGAAAUACUGCCAUACCAUCAGGAAACUUUGACUUAAAGCAAGUGAUAAAGUCUACCUAUUUCUUCAGCUGAUUAGACUUUGAUGUGCUUUUGGUUCCUGCUCCAGUUAAUGGCAAUCUGUUCUUCCUGUGGAAGCUUUUGUAUUGAAUAGGCCUGACUUUAGCAGGCUCUGCUGUACCUUCUAUGAGGUGUAUUAGGGUUUGAGAUUUAAAUGAAAAAUGGUUGUAAAUAAACCACAUGACUAAUUUUAUCUGCUUUGUACACUGGGGUGUUUUUUCUGCUUGAAGGUCAAGAAGAAAAUGACGUAAUUGACAUAUAAUAAACUAUA